rnacentral:rRNA from 1 species
AGCAGCCGCGGUAAUUCCAGCUCCAAUAGCGUAUAUUAAAGUUGUUACAGUUAAAAAGCUCGUAGUUGAAUUUCGGGAUCAAAGGAUCGGUCAUGCCUUGGUAUGUACUGGUUUUAUUGGUUCUCACCUUCUAAAGAACCAUAAUGUCAUUCAUUUGAUGUUAUGGGGAAUUAGGACUGUUACCUUGAAAAAAUUAGAGUGUUUAAAGCAGGCUAACGCUUGAAUACAUUAGCAUGGAAUAAUGAAAUAGGACGUUUGAUCCUAUUUUGUUGGUUUCUAGGAUCGACGUAAUGAUUAAUAGGGAUAGUUGGGGGCAUUAGUAUUCAAUUGUCAGAGGUGAAAUUCUUGGAUUUAUUGAAGACUAACUACUGCGAAAGCAUUUGCCAAGGAUGUUUUCAUUAAUCAAGAACGAAAGUUAGGGGAUCGAAGACGAUCAGAUACCGUCGUAGUCUUAACCAUAAACUAUGCCGACUAGGGAUCGGAUGAUG